AGCGAACGCUGGCGGCAGGCUUAACACAUGCAAGUCGAGCGGGCACUUUCGGGUGUCAGCGGCGGACGGGUGAGUAACGCGUGGGAACGUGCCCUCUGGUUCGGAAUAACUCAGGGAAACUUGAGCUAAUACCGGAUACGCCCUUUUGGGGAAAGGCUUGCUGCCGGAGGAUCGGCCCGCGUCUGAUUAGCUAGUUGGUGAGGUAACGGCUCACCAAGGCGACGAUCAGUAGCUGGUCUGAGAGGAUGAUCAGCCACACUGGGACUGAGACACGGCCCAGACUCCUACGGGAGGCAGCAGUGGGGAAUAUUGGACAAUGGGCGCAAGCCUGAUCCAGCCAUGCCGCGUGAGUGAUGAAGGCCUUAGGGUUGUAAAGCUCUUUUAUCCGGGACGAUAAUGACGGUACCGGAGGAAUAAGCCCCGGCUAACUUCGU
rnacentral:rRNA from 1 species